GCCUGGGUGGCUCAGUCGGUUAAGUGUCUGACUUCAGCUCAGGUCAUGAUCUCACGGUUCGUGGGUUCACGCCCCACAUCGGGCU
rnacentral:tRNA from 1 species